UUCGUUGCAACCAUGGAUGGGAAAAUGUGGAGGUUGCACGGCUGAUGUUUACUGUUCGUGGCACAGGAAGAGGCAGUUUCAUUUCAGGAAUGAGUGUGCACAAUCAAAGAAUAGAGCGACUGUGGAGAGACCUCUGGGUGGCCGUUACAUGCAUUUACUACGAUGUUCUUCACAACCUUGAGGAAGAAGGCCUUCUUGACAUUUCAAAUGCUGCGCACACCUUUUGCUGCCAUUACAUCUUUCUUCCUCGACUGGAGGAUGAUUUUAAUACAUUUUGCAGUGGAUGGGACAACCAUCCACUGCGAACAGAAAACAACACGAGUCCCAACCAGCUGUGGGAGUUGUGUCACAGAUAUCACCCUGUUCCUGUUCCAGAAAACACACAGCUUAUCACACAUUUGAUUUCCAUGUGUGACAACUGCAAGUGUCCAGAGUGAGGACAGA